rnacentral:siRNA from 1 species
UUGAGGCGGCACUCAGUCUUGU